AAAGAAACCAACCGGGAUUGCCUCAGUAACGGCGAGUGAAGCGGCAAGAGCUCAAAUUUGAAAUCUGGCCCCCUCCGGGGUCCGAGUUGUAAUUUGCAGAGGAUGCUUUGGGUGCGGCCCCCGUCUAAGUGCCCUGGAACGGGCCGUCAUAGAGGGUGAGAAUCCCGUCUGGGACGGGGUGUCCGUGCCCGUGUAAAGCUCCUUCGACGAGUCGAGUUGUUUGGGAAUGCAGCUCUAAAUGGGUGGUAAAUUUCAUCUAAAGCUAAAUACUGGCCGGAGACCGAUAGCGCACAAGUAGAGUGAUCGAAAGAUGAAAAGCACUUUGAAAAGAGAGUUAAACAGCACGUGAAAUUGUUGAAAGGGAAGCGCUUGCGACCAGACUCGCCUACGGGGUUCAGCCGGCAUUCGUGCCGGUGUACUUCCCCGUGGGCGGGCCAGCGUCGGUUUGGGCGGUCGGUCAAAGGCCUCCGGAAUGUAUCACCCCCCGGGGUGUCUUAUAGCCGGAGGUGCAAUGCGGCCAGCCUAGACCGAGGAACGCGCUUCGGCUCGGACGCUGGCAUAAUGGUCGUAAGCGAC
rnacentral:rRNA from 1 species